GUUAUAUGGUUUGAAAUGAAUUGGUGUGUUAUGUGUUUCAUGUAUUUUAUUGUCCAUUGUGUAGGAGUUUAACUAUCAGAGUGAUUUGCAUAUCAUUAACGUAAGCAUUUAGUGUUUUUACAAAAGGUGAAAUGCUGUCCAGCCGGCUAGAAUGAAACAAUUGUAUGCUAUCGCUAUGGAGCACGAAAAGCGCUUGUUACAUCCCACGUGAAAGGGGCCCCGCAAACUUCUGCUGUUCAAAUCGUGGCUCCACAUUUCCAUUUGCAAACUGAUUAAUCCUGAAAGUCAUUCUUUUACUGAUAAAAAGGAUUGAAUGGACAAGAUGUCUCUCCCUCAUAAAGGAGUUCUAAUAGGGGAGUAUUGUCCAGCUCAGAGUUAACUCUACUUUUAAAGUAUAUUGCAUUGUUUGUGUCAAAGUAAGAUUCAUCUAGUAUGUCUCAUUGAUUAUGGGGUAAUAAUAACAUGGUAUUUUAAUAGAGAUUAGACAAUUUCGGAAAUUUAUAAGUGAGGUAAUUUUAAUCUCCUAAACUACUGUAUUAUAUUUGUAUGGGUAAAGUGAAAGCAUUUUUGCAGAUCCAGAAGAGGAUUAAUAAAAAAAUAUAAUAAUCUCACUAGGAGCCAAAUUAUGCAAAGAGGCUAUCCAAAGUAUGCACUAACGGGUUAAACUUGUUUUCUUGAUAAGCGUAUAACAUUUAGUUUUAUGGUUAGACUUUUGACAUGCAAUUUGAAAUAUGUCCCAAUUACAUCCUUGCACGGCACCAGGUACAGGAAGCAAUAUGCGUUUUAAAAAUUUGCAAGGUCUUAGUGUUUUCAAUAUAUUAUAACAAUGGAAAAGUACCUAACCGCAUGUCUGCAUUACGCUCAUGACACAGACUGUCAGUAUUGCAAGCCCUAUAUGAAGGCUAUGCUUUCAUUGUCGAUGUAUAUACCCCUAGACAACCUUGCUUUUUAUACACAAUUUAACUAUCCAUACAGCCUUUAAAAGCUUAUUAAUAUUAUAUCUGUGUGGUACACAAAGAGGGGGCUGUGAGUUAGGUAAUCCCAUCCUGCAUAUGGAAUAAAGGCAGAGGUAGAGGAUUUGGUCAAAGGGUCUAACUUUUGUAGAGGUAACAACUUCAGCAUUGGUGGAACACACUGUUCUAAUUGUGGAUAGCAGGGUCACUGGAAAAAUGAGUGCCCAAAGCCACCCCCACAGAUUCCUCAAUACCAACCAUAGCUUCCAACCUAUACCCACACCCAACAACCCCAGCCUAAUACACAGAUGGUUCAUGUUUGUAAUAUUUAAUAUAGUUUUAGGUGUUAAUCCAAGAGUAUUGAAUUAUUCAGGAUUAUUAAAGUAAUUAAUUUUGAAUAUCAAAUCAAGGUUCCAGUUUAGGAACAGAGUGUUAUUGGGAAUUAUCCCCAUAUGUAUAUGUUAGUGUUUUAAUAUUCAUCCUAACAAGGAUUUCUAUAGAGUGAGUGCUACUCUCAUCCGUGCAAAGGCAUUCCAAAGGGGUAUUAUGUAAAACUUCAUAGAAGACAGAUUGCAUAAAAUAUAAGCAAAUAUAAGAGAAGUACAUGUUACACAAAUUAAGGGUUUAACCUUAAUCUCUAAUUUAAGUUUUAGCCUAGGUAAUUAAUUAAUGUUGUAUUGAUCCUUGUGUUUGUAUGUUUGUAGAGACCGUCCUGGAGUGUUUGUGCCGCCUGAUUUCUGGGACUACACACCAAUCUCUCUGGCUGACCAUGCAAUAAGUAUUUUGCAAUUACAUCUGUUUGGUCAUUAUCCAUGCAGGCCGAAGAAACUGAGAUACUUAUUUAUGAGGACAUAAACUUUGCACGCAAGAACCUGGAAAGUCCUGAAGGUGCAGUGCUGUCUAAUACCGCUGGUUCUGUAAUAACCCUUUCAACCAUUGGGGUGUUGCACAGAGCUUUGUGGUGAAAAUCCAGCAAACAAAAGAAGAACUAUGUGGAAGCUGACAUUGUCUUGUUGUCAGCCAUAUUGCUACCCUUAGCCAUUUUAUGGAACAAAAUGUCUGGUGUCUAAACUGAUUUCUUUAUACUCUGUGAAAGACUUGUUCUAUUUUUCUGAACUAUGCUGAACUAUUGAACUAUUUUUAUUUUUGUAGAGUUAGCCAGAGAGAGAGGAAGUGUUAGCUGACCCAGGGAUGGAUGUACUAUGUGUGUUUUUGAUAUAUGUUGAGUGUGCCAGGGAUGGAUUCCCAUGUUUUGAGGAACUGCGUGAGGAUAUGACUGGUUUUGACUGGACUUUUGGAAUAGGGAAAUGGUUAAAAGAUAUAGGACGCAAGGUCCUGGUUGUGCAAAAAUAUAGUUGCUAUAAGCCCAAGUUCCAUUCUGUCUUAAACAUCCAUUUUCUAUAUAUCUGUCUGCAAAAGUAUUAAGUGGUUUUUGUUUUGUUUUUUUUCUGCUGAGUUUCUGUUUCUUGUAGACCACAUGAUUGCUUGGGAAUGCCAUAAUGUGGAAAUUUCUCUGUCUUGGGAGAAUGUUAUCCGAUGAUAUGAGCAAUAUAUAUUGCUCAAAGAGGGGUAACAAUUGUGAUUAUUGGGGCUCAGUUGGAUGGAACACCGGGACAGAUUGGGGUUAUAAGCCACAGAAUGCAUUAGAUAAAAAGGAUACGAAUGGGAAGUCCCUCUUGACUAGAAUGACCCUAACAAAGCCAGGUACAUGUACCCCUAUAGGGCAAACUGGGCACUCCAUGAAAUUUACCUUAAAUAUUUUACCUCUAGACAAACUCUUGUUAAUCCUCUAAAGCCCCACAUUCAAACCCUUGGUAAUAUGAUGGCCAUAGCAGAUCCCACGUUUGGAGAUACCAUAGCGUUAGAAACAGGGUAUGCAGAUACAAACCUAUGGCUGGAAUGGAUGAGAUAUAAUGCCCAUUCCAACAAUAGGUCAAACUGUUAUGUAUGUGGUAGUGCCAGACCUCAUCUAGGAACUGUACCCUUACAUGUCCCUGAUGAGUACUGGGAAUGUUUCCUAAGUUUGUUUUCAGGUAUCACUGUUAAUACUACAGAAUGUGAAGAAUGGAAAAAGGGUCACCCUAUUGGUGAACCCAAGUUUAAUUUAAAUGAUGUUGUCCCAGUAUGUCCUGGUAAUUAUACUUGUUUUCAGGGAAAUAAUAAUGGUAAGGUGGGUACACAAUUUGAUAACUUCUCUUCAGGAUUCUGUACCUUAGUGAAUCAAACACAAUCUGUGGGAGAUGUUUAUUGAAUAUGUGGAGAUAUGAAAAUACGUUCUAGACUCCCCACCCCCUGGAGAGGAGAAUGUGCCCCAGCCAAAAUAAUCAUGCCCCUCCAUAUAUUUGGCGACUCUCUCCCUGAAAUUAAGGUUGUAACUGAUUCCACAAGAAGGAAAAGGUAGUUUCAACCCACAUAUCUAUCUAGAUGCCAUUGGUAUUCCAAGAGGGGUUCCUAAUGAAUUUAAAGCUAGAGACGAGGUGGCAGCAGGAUUUGAAUCAAUAUUUCCCAUUAUAACAGCUAACAAGAAUGUUAACUGGAUGAAUUAUAUGUAUUAUAAUCAGCAAAGAUUUGUAAAUUAUACACGAGAUGCAUUACAAGGUCUUGCUGAACAAUUACAGGCUACCUCACAAAUGACUUUCCAGAAUAGAAUGGCCCUUGAUAUGAUUUUAGCAGAAAAGGGAGGAGUCUGUAAAAUACUUGACUCCGGUGUUUGUUGUACCUAUAUUCCAGAGAACACUGGCCCUAAUGGUAAAGUAACCCUAGAUAUAAAGAAAUUAGAAGACCUGUCCAUAGAAAUGAAGAGGAAUUCAGGUAUUGAUCACCCAUGGGCAGAUAUGUUUAAGUUUGACAGUAUCCUAGACUGGCUAAAGAAUAUUGCAAUACUUAUUGUUAUGGUUCUGAUCCUUGCUCUACUUGUUUAUGCUAUUUUCAAGAUUAUUGUAUUCUGCAUUUACAAACAUACACGCAACACUGUUCCUGUAAAAUCCCCAGCUUGAUAUGAUGAGUAUCUCCAAAUGUAUACACAUAACCGAAGCAAUGGUGAACAUGCUGAUACAGAUCUAUAAGUUUGAGGUACUGGUCAGAUGCCUAGUCCUAUGCUAUGGGAAUAGUGGCCGAAGACAUAAUGAAAGACCUGCAGGAUUGGCUAGCAAUCCUGAAUAUACCAUGGCAGAUGGCUGGUUGUCUGACCAGGACUCCUUAAAUAGGGUAUGAGCAAGAUAUUGCUCAAAGAGGGGGAAAUGAAGGAAUAUUGACCCCUUAAGGACACAUGACAUGUCAUGAUUCCCUUUUAUUCCAGAAAUUUGGUCCUUAAGGGGUUAAACAAUUAAUCUGUCAGUAUUUCAGAACUGCUUGCAAAACAUAAUUGAAAGGAAGUCACAAGCUAUGACAGUUUCUAUGUAUCAGGAAAUGCCUAACCACAAUGUAUAUGUGAUAUUUUGUAAGAUUAGAUUAUUGAAUGUAACAGCAGAAACUACUUCCUCUUUUAUGUAUCUUGUGUAACCUUUUUGUAACCUUUUUGUAACCUUUUGUAACCAAUAUUCGUGACAAGUAUAGUAUAAAUAUAGCGAAUCUUGAAUAAACGAUCAGAAGAUUAUGGAGAGCAAAAAGUGUGUGUCUG